UGGGGGAUAUUGCACAAUGGGCGAAAGCCUGAUGCAGCGACGCCGCGUGGGGGAUGAAGGCUUUCGGGUUGUAAACCUCUUUCGCUAUCGAACAAGGCCCGCUUAGGGUGGGUUGAGGGUAGGUGGAGAAGAAGCGCCGGCUAACUACGUGCCAGCAGUCGCGGUAAUACGUAGGGCGCGAGCGUUGUCCGGAUCUAUUGGGCGUAAAGGGCUUGUAGGCGGCGUGUUGCGCCUGCUGUGAAAACGCGGGGCUUAACUUCGCGCGUGCAGUGGGUACGGGCAGGCUUGAGUGUGGUAGGGGUGACUGGAAUUCCAGGUGUAGCGGUGGAAUGCGCAGAUAUCUGGAGGAACACAGAUGGCGAAGGCAGGUCACUGGGCCAUUACUGACGCUGAGGAGCGAAAGCAUAGGUAGCGAACAGG
rnacentral:rRNA from 1 species